rnacentral:lncRNA from 1 species
CGCAUAAUGACAAAAAAGAACUACAGCAACAGGUCUGAGUAAAUCCCAUCCGGCAGCUCUGGCGUUUGUAGAAAACCAGAGUGGGAAUUUUUUUUUUUUUUUUUUUAAGACAGAGUCUCGCUCUGUCGCCCAGGCUGGAGUGCAGUGGCGCGAUCUUGGCUCACUGCAAGCUCCGCCUCCCGGGUUCACGCCAUUCUCCUGCCUCAGCCUCCCGAGUAGCUGGGACUACAGGGAAGGCAUCGAGCUUGAGGAAGAGGCCCCAUUCAUCUCCGUACCCCAGGCCCUGGUACACAGCAGGCAGAUAAACCUGCCAGUAAUUUCAGCAAAUGAAACGUGGAACACGUCAAGGCCAGAGGAUGGAAAAGGCUCCAGUUUUGAUAAAAGGAGGCCUGCUUGGCUUGGAAUCCUCUCUCCUGCUGGUUGGGAGAUGCAAAGAUGUUUCCAGAGAGGGGCUGAUGAAUUGAGGGGAAAGAAAUGAGCCCAGUAUGAGUCCCCUUUCAGGGCUGAGCGUGUAUAAAACCAAACAACUUGGAACCGCUCCAAGAGAGGGGAUUAAAGCAACAUGUUAUUCUGA